rnacentral:rRNA from 1 species
AUUGAACGCUGGCGGAAUGCUUUACACAUGCAAGUCGAACGGUAGAGGGGGCAACCCCUCGAGAGUGGCGAACGGGUGAGUAAUAUAUCGGAACGUGCCCAGUCGUGGGGGAUAACGUAGCGAAAGUUACGCUAAUACCGCAUACGAUCCAAGGAUGAAAGCGGGGGAUCGCAAGACCUCGCGCGAUUGGAGGGGCCGAUAUCAGAUUAGGUAGUUGGUGGGGUAAAGGCUCACCAAGCCAACGAUCUGUAGCUGGUCUGAGAGGACGACCAGCCACACUGGAACUGAGACACGGUCCAGACUCCUACGGGAGGCAGCAGUGGGGAAUUUUGGACAAUGGACGCAAGUCUGAUCCAGCCAUUCCGCGUGCAGGAUGAAGGCCCUCGGGUUGUAAACUGCUUUUGUACGGAACGAAAAGGUCUCUCUUAAUACGGGGGGCUCAUGACGGUACCGUAAGAAUAAGCACCGGCUGACUACGUGCCAGCCGCCGCAGUAA